CUGCCAUGAGGAGGUUGCUGGCAACCUAAGAGCUGGAGUCCAAGGCAGUGCAAAGCUAAAUGGCUCUGCACUGUCUGCACGUGUGCUGCAUUUAGGAUUCCAUGCGACUGAACCCUAACCUCUUGGGGUAUCACAUGUGAGGCUCCCAGAACUCCUUCCCCAGGACCGGUGCCCGACUGGCUGCAGCCUUUAGCUUGGAAGGUGGCUCAUGUACCUUCUUUCUCAAGACAUGGAUCUCCAGCACGUCUGCUGGUCUGACAGGCACAGCCCUGGCACUGAUGGCAGGUGAUGACAUCUCCUCGAGUGACAAAAUCACUGCUGCAGCCCAGGCCCCUGGCCUCUCUCUCAGCACAACCUGACCUGGCAGAUGGAGCUCACCAGCCAGCCACGGACCAGCUUAGCUGCAGCUGGCUUCUGUGCUGCACUGCAAAUAACUCAUCUGCAGGGUACUGUGAGGCAGGAAACUACUGGGUAAGGUCCACGAUCAAUGGGUGAGAUGAGCCAGGUCUGACAGUGUAUGGGGAGGCAUGUCCCUUGGACACAAGUAGUAUUUACAACAUUUUGAAACUCGUUUUAUUCUAAGCGAAGAGGGGCUUUAUACAGUUGAUACCAAAUUUCAUUAAUAAUAUUUAACCCCCUUGGCCAAAAUAAAGUAGGGAGGGCAAAACAGAGGAAAACCCUCCAAUUAUAUUUACAUAGAUUUAAAAAAUGCAUUAAGAACACAGGAUACCCUCAAUCAAUUAAUCUAGUCCUCUCCUAUCACAGGCACAUCCUUCCUACAAACCCAUUCGCAAACCAAAUAUUCAUAUGUUAGUUUUCCAGCUACCAUGCUACAUUGGUUUUGUUUUGUUUUGGGUUUUUUUUGUUGGUGUUGUUUUUUGUUUUCUGAUUAAGUUCUCCAAGAUAAAAACAAAGUAAUCAUAAUGCAGAAUAGCUCUGGGUGCAUGUCUGAGAAAAACAAGACAGGAAAUUCAGAACCAAGCACAAAGUCAUUGCUAAAACAUACUGCUACAGCAUGGCAUUGUUAGAUUUUCAGCACCCAAAGCAUGAAAAUCACAUGAAUAAGGAUUGUCCUGAGAAUAAAUUCCAGUAUCCUCAAUGUAGGCAGAGAAUAAGUAAUAUGUUCUCACAUUCCUCUGUUUAACUGAUCUGUGAUAGCUUGCUAUGAAUCCAUAAAACCCAUAGAUUUAUAUAAAAACACAGAUAAUACAUAUGGCUAUUUUUAAAUAUUUCUCAUCUGGUCCUCACUGAGGAAUUCUAGAUCUCUGCUCAUGAAAAUAACAGCUGAAGUACUGUUCUGUGUAAUUUGCUGACAUGACAUCUGGAAAAGAUUUUAAAGCUCUUAUUUCAAUGAGAAGAAUCAAAGGAUUUUUUUUCUUUUUGUAAUUCUCAGAAUAUGUCAUGAGACUUGUUUAUCUGUGUAGGAGAGGUAAGAACUGAAGAGAAAUGUAUUACUGGCUUUGCAAAAUUUUGGCAAUAAUAGGAGCUGUAAGAAUUUUUAAAAAGUGACACGAUGCUGUAAUUAACACUGCUCACAGGUGUUUAUUUGAAUAAAUAAAAAUAAUGACAAUGGCUAAAA